rnacentral:lncRNA from 1 species
CUUUCUUGGUGCGCAUGGAUUUUACUGAACCAUUGCAAAUAAAAUAUAUUUACACCUAUAGUUCUUGAACAGAUCUGCUUCAGACUUUGUUUUUAAGCUGUAUCCUUCCACUCUAAAGUAAUGCAAUUCUUUCUCUUUCUAGCGCCAAGGUCACAGUCGAAAGAUGUCUCCGAUGAAGAUUUGGCUGUGCAAAUGAGCAAGCUGCUUGUGAAGAAAGUUCUACCUGAAACAGAAACUUCUCCUCACAAAGUCAAAAUUGAGGCCAAAUUCUCUCUGUAAAAAACCAACUAUCCAAAGUCUUGGGCCACUGCUUAUCUCACUUCCAGACCAAGCCAUUUUUUGCUAUUGAAUUAUUUACUUAAGAUGAGAGUCAUCUAUAAUCAUCGCAGAAGCAUUAGAAUCCAACAGGACUUUGAAUACAUAUUUAAAAUGUUUACUAGUGUGUGAGCAUAUUCAUUUAAUGCCUUGAGAGACUUAGCUUUUCAUUACAACUUCACAUGAGGUUUACCCUCAUUGGUUUUAACUUUCCAGACUAUAAGAUGCUUGUCUCGGCUUUUUGUUCUGUCUGUUCUUUUGUUUUGUGUUUCAGGACUUGGCAAUGAGAUGUAUGGUUCCCUCAUGCGCGCAUAUUGUGUGUAGUGUUUCAGAUUCUAAAUUAGAAACACAAGAGACCAUGGGCUUUCCAUGAAAGACUAUGAUUUGAUGUCUGCAGUGACAUUGUGUGAUAUUUGUUGUUGUUUGCUUUUUCCCCUGUUUCUUUUCUUAUUUGCUUGGAAUAUAUCUUACUAUGCUUGAAAAGCAUUUAAUAGCACUACACUGGACAUCUUGCUUAUUAAAUCCCUCUCGUGAUUGUCCCACCUCUAUUGCAAUCAUAGCUAAGCUGCACUAAUAUUUCCUCAUAGCUAUUAGAUUUUGAAAAGCUUACUUUAAAUGAUUUCUUCAUAUAUUUUCAGGAUUUUCUGAGUCUUUUUUUUUUGUGGAUUCAUUCUCAGAAUGAAAGACAAUGAAAUAUUUAUUAAGCUUGCUGGGAAAAACUCUGGAGGCAGGAUUUAUUAAUAGUGAAAAUUCAUUAUUGAUGCUGUUCUCAACUGAUGAGCAGUUUUAUGCCUGAUUAUUUUUAUUUUAAAGAAGGCUUAGCUGGUGGCUACUCACUGUGGGAAAAAUCCUUCCCAGUCUCCUGAGCUGGCAGGUGACUGCAUCCUUUGCAUUUAAAAAGCUGAAGUUCAUGACUUGUGCCCAUCAACUCAGUUCAACUUAUAUCAGCUAAGGAAAACAGUUU